rnacentral:rRNA from 1 species
CCUACGGGGGGCAGCAGUGAGGAAUAUUGGUCAAUGGACGAGAGUCUGAACCAGCCAAGUAGCGUGAAGGAUGACUGCCCUAUGGGUUGUAAACUUCUUUUAUAUGGGAAUAAAAUGUUCCACGUGUGGGAUUUUGUAUGUACCAUAUGAAUAAGGAUCGGCUAACUCCGUGCCAGCAGCCGCGGUAAUACGGAGGAUCCGAGCGUUAUCCGGAUUUAUUGGGUUUAAAGGGAGCGUAGGUGGAUUGUUAAGUCAGUUGUGAAAGUUUGCGGCUCAACCGUAAAAUUGCAUUUGAAACUGGCAGUCUUGAGUACAGUAGAGGUGGGCGGAAUUCGUGGUGUAGCGGUGAAAUGCUUAGAUAUCACGAAGAACUCCGAUUGCGAAGGCAGUUCACUGGACUGCAACUGACACUGAGGCUCGAAAGUGUGGGUAUCAAACAGGAUUAGAUACCCCAGUAGUC